rnacentral:rRNA from 1 species
CGCAAAUCUAUAGUUCACGAUAGAGAAUGCGCAGUGCGACGUUCAGUGAUAUAUACAGUCUGCGAGGCAUAGAGUCUGCUUGCAUUAGGGGGCGACUGUACAGCAGCACCCCACAUCUACAUAAAAAGAGUUUGAGAUUAUGACAUCAAGGCUGCCCCUGAAAACCAGCUGCUUAAGUCGUGUCAUGAUUUGCAUUCACUUACUACCGCAUUCCGUGCUUUUUAGCUCAGCCAAGUCGUAUAAGGUUUUUGGUACAGCACCCAGCCCCUUAAUGACUUGAGAAUACGUGGUUAGUAAUGAUGGUGUCAACCAGACGUUUAAAUCCAGCAACCUGUCGAGACUGAGGACGACUUCAAAUCUAUCAAAAGUUCAAGUGGUUGAAGACUAUGAGCGUGCACAUGCCCUAGAGGCGAGCAACAACUCAUAGUGAUUUCAUUUAAUGAAUUUUUUUCCUCCGCGGGAGGGGCCUGCGGAAGGAUCAUUAWUGAAUUCASUAUGGAGUUGUUGCUGGCCUCUAGGGGCAUGUGCACGCUUCACUAGUCUUUCAACCACCUGUGAACUUUUGAUAGAUCUGUGAAGUCGUCCUUCAAGUCGUCAGACUUGGUUUGCUGGGAUUUAAACGUCUCGGUGUGACAACGCAGUCUAUUUACUUAACACACCCCAAAUGUAUGUCUACGAAUGUCAUUUAAUGGGCCUUGUGCCUAUAAACCAUAAUACAACUUUCAACAACGGAUCUCUUGGCUCUCGCAUCGAUGAAGAACGCAGCGAAAUGCGAUAAGUAAUGUGAAUUGCAGAAUUCAGUGAAUCAUCGAAUCUUUGAACGCACCUUGCGCCCCUUGGUAUUCCGAGGGGCAUGCCUGUUUGAGUGUCAUUAAAUUCUCAAACUCACAUUUAUUUGUGAUGUUUGGAUUGUUGGGGGUUGCUGGCUGUAACAAGUCGGCUCCUCUUAAAUGCAUUAGCAGGACUUCUCAUUGCCUCUGCGCAUGAUGUGAUAAUUAUCACUCAUCAAUAGCACGCAUGAAUAGAGUCCAGCUCUCUAAUCGUCCGCAAGGACAAUUUGACAAUUUGACCUCAAAUCAKSUAGGACUACCCGCUGAACUUAASCAUMUCAAAGCGCGGGGGGGAAAAAAGAAUCAUUAAUGAAUUCACUAUGGAGUUGUUGCUGGCCUCUAGGGGGCAUGUGCACGCUUCACUAGUCUUUCAACCUGAUGAACUUUUGAUAGAUCUGUGAAAGUCGUCCUUCAGAUCUAACUGGUUUGCUGGGAUUAUAAACGUCUCGUGUGACACCAUCUAUUUAUUAACCAAUGUAUGUCUACAAAGUCAUUUAUGGGCGUUGUGCUAUAACAUAAUCAUAUCACGGACUUGGCUCUGCAUCGAUAAAACGAACGAAUGCAUAGUAAUGUGAAUUGCAAAUCAUGAAUCACAAGCUUGAACUCAGCUUGGUAUUCAGGGGGCAGCGUUGAGUGUCAUAAGUCUCAGACUUUCUAUUUGUGAUGUUCGACUGUGGGGUGGCUGGCCUGUACAGUCGGCUCGCUAAAUGCAUAGCAGACUCUCAUGCCCUCAAGCUUAGUAUGAUCAGUUUCAUGCGCGAGUGAAUUCCAUACGUGGAGCU